ACGCUCGACACCUACGGGGGCAGCAGUGGGGAAUAUUGCACAAUGGGGGAAACCCUGAUGCAGCGACGCCGCGUGAGCGAAGAAGUAUUUCGGUAUGUAAAGCUCUAUCAGCAGGGAAGAAAAUGACGGUACCUGACUAAGAAGCCCCGGCUAACUACGUGCCAGCAGCAGCGGUAAUCUGAGCGGGCUGGCAAGGC
rnacentral:rRNA from 1 species